rnacentral:rRNA from 1 species
GCCACACUGGGACUGAGACACGGCCCAGACUCCUACGGGAGGCAGCAGUGGGGAAUAUUGCACAAUGGGCGAAAGCCUGAUGCAGCGACGCCGCGUGAGGGAUGACGGCCUUCGGGUUGUAAACCUCUUUCAGCAGGGAAGAAGCGCAAGUGACGGUACCUGCAGAAGAAGCGCCGGCUAACUACGUGCCAGCAGCCGCGGUAAUACGUAGGGCGCAAGCGUUGUCCGGAAUUAUUGGGCGUAAAGACCUCGUAGGCGGCUUGUCACGUCGGAUGUGAAAGCCCGGGGCUUAACCCCGGGUCUGCAUUCGAUACGGGCUAGCUAGAGUGUGGUAGGGGAUAUCGGAAUUCCUGGUGUAGCGGUGAAAUGCGCAGAUAUCAGGAGGAACACCGGUGGCGAAGGCGGAUCUCUGGGCCAUUACUGACGCUGAGGAGCGAAAGCGUGGGGAGCGAACAGGAUUAGAUACCCUGGUAGUCCACGCCGUAAACGUUGGGAACUAGGUGUUGGCGACAUUCCACGUCGUCGGUGCCGCAGCUAACGCAUUAAGA